GGAUCUUGUUAAAAUGCAGAUUCGGAUUCAGUAGGGCUGGGAUGGGGGCCUGAGAUUCUGCAUUUUCAACAAGCUC
rnacentral:miRNA from 1 species